rnacentral:rRNA from 1 species
GACGAACGCUGGCGGCGUGCUUAACACAUGCAAGUCGAACGAAGUGGCGAACGGGUGAGUAAUACGUGGGUAACCUGCCCUCCUUUUUGGGAUAAGCCUUUGAAACGGGGUCUAAUACCGAAUAAAGGGGGAUGGGCUCUCGGCCUAUCAGCUGGUUGGGGGGGUGGUGGCCUACCAAGGCGGUGACGGGUAGCCGGCCUGAGAGGGUGACGGGACACAUAGGGAGUGGGAUACGGCCCAGACUCCUACGGGAGGCAGCAGGGGGGGAUAUUGCACAAUGGGGGAAAGCUGGGUGCGGGGAUGUCGCGUGGGGGAUGAAGGCUUUCGGGUUGUAAACCUCGUUGGCUAUGGAAAGGGUAGGUGGAGAAGAAGCGCCGGCUAACUACGUGCCAGCAGCCGCGGUAAUUC